rnacentral:tRNA from 1 species
AACUGCUUUGGCAGAAUUAAUGUGUUAGAUUUAGAUUCUAUUGAUGUAUACUAAUACAAGCAGUA